rnacentral:rRNA from 1 species
CAGUCGCCGCGGUAAUACGAAGGGUGCAAGCGUUACUCGGAAUUACUGGGCGUAAAGCGUGCGUAGGUGGUGGUUUAAGUCCGUUGUGAAAGCCCUGGGCUCAACCUGGGAAUUGCAGUGGAUACUGGGUCACUAGAGUGUGGUAGAGGAUAGUGGAAUUUCCGGUGUAGCAGUGAAAUGCGUAGAGAUCGGAAGGAACAUCUGUGGCGAAGGCGACUAUCUGGGCCAACACUGACACUGAGGCACGAAAGCGUGGGGAGCAAACAGGAUUAGAUUCCCCUGUAGUCCCUGUCUCUUAUAC